AAGAUCGUACUUCACAGGAUCAUUUCUGUAGUCGAUCUAACGUAUCCGCUUGCCGGAUUCGUGCAUCCUGAAACCUCGAUGAUGCGAUAAGGGUGUGGCGCCUGAGCGUGAAUCUGCAUUGGAGUUCCCUUUUCGAAGAGAGUUCUGUUGCUUGAUGAUCGUUCUGUCCUGAAAACAGGAAGGGUGGCUCAUACUCCGUCUGAGUGGU
rnacentral:snoRNA from 1 species